AUGAAGAACGUAGCGAAAUGCGAUACUUGGUGUGAAUUGCAGAAUCCCGUGAACCAUCGAGUCUUUGAACGCAAGUUGCGCCUGAAGCCAUUAGGCUGAGGGCACGCCUGCAUGGGCGUCACGC
rnacentral:rRNA from 1 species